CCAGACUCCUACGGGAGGCAGCAGUGGGGAAUAUUGCACAAUGGGGGAAACCCUGAUGCAGCAACGCCGCGUGAGUGAAGAAGUAUUUAGGUAUGUAAAGCUCUAUCAGCAGGGAAGAAAAUGACAGUACCUGACUAAGAAGCCCCGGCUAACUACGUGCCAGCAGCCGCGGUAAUACGUAGGGGGCAAGCGUUAUCCGGAUUUACUGGGUGUAAAGGGAGCGUAGACGGCUGCGCAAGUCAGAAGUGAAAGCCCGGGGCUCAACCGCGGGACUGCUUUUGAAACUGUGUAGCUAGAGUGCAGGAGAGGUAAGUGGAAUUCCUAGUGUAGCGGUGAAAUGCGUAGAUAUUAGGAGGAACACCAGUGGCGAAGGCGGCCUGCUGGACUGCAACUGACGUUGAGGCUCGAAGGCGUGGGGAGCAAACAGGAUUAGAUACCCCUGUA
rnacentral:rRNA from 1 species